rnacentral:tRNA from 3 species
UGCCCUGUAGCUCAAUUGGCAGAGCACCUGACUCUGGAUCAGGGGGUUCCAGGUUCGAAUCCUGGCAGGGCAG